AGCCUUUACAAUGCACGCAAGUGCGAUAAGGGGACCCCGAGUGUUGGUGCCUAGCAUCAACUGUCUAACUGUCUAAAAAACAGUUAUUAGCAAGAGCCGGGUAAAACCGGUGCCAGCCGCCGCGGUAACACCGGCGGCUCGAGUGGUGACCGCUAUUAUUGGGUCUAAAGGGUCCGUAGCCGGCCUAAUAAGUUCUUUGGGAAAUCUGGCGGCUUAACCGUCAGGCUGCUGAGGGAUACUGUUAGGCUUGAGACCAGGAGAGGCUAGAGGUACCUCGGGGGUAGGGGUGAAA
rnacentral:rRNA from 1 species